AUGAACGCUGGCGGCGUGCCUAAUACAUGCCAGUCGAGCUAACAGACGAGGAGCUUGCUCCUCUGACGUUAGCGGCGGACGGGUGAGUAACACGUGGAUAACCUACCUAUAAGACUGGGAUAACUUCGGGAAACCGGAGCUAAUACCGGAUAAUAUAUUGAACCGCAUGGUUCAAUAGUGAAAGACGGUUUUGCUGUCACUUAUAGAUGGAUCCGCGCCGCAUUAGCUAGUUGGUAAGGUAACGGCUUACCAAGGCAACGAUGCGUAGCCGACCUGAGAGGGUGAUCGGCCACACUGGAACUGAGACACGGUCCAGACUCCUACGGGAGGCAGCAGUAGGGAAUCUUCCGCAAUGGGCGAAAGCUUGACGGAGCAACGCCGCGUGAGUGAUGAAGGUCUUCGGAUCGUAAAACUCUGUUAUUAGGGAAGAACAAAUGUGUAAGUAACUAUGCACGUCUUGACGGUACCUAAUCAGAAAGCCACGGCUAACUACGUG
rnacentral:rRNA from 1 species